rnacentral:rRNA from 1 species
UAUUACAAUGAAGAGUUUGAUCCUGGCUCAGGAUGAACGCUAGCUACAGGCUUAACACAUGCAAGUCGAGGGGCAGCAUGGUCUUAGCUUGCUAAGGCCGAUG